UUGAAGCCUCGCACCACGGUUCCCGUCCU
rnacentral:sRNA from 1 species